UACGUAGGGUGCAAGCGUUGUCCGGAAUUAUUUGGGCGUAAAGAGCUCGGUAGGCGGUCAGUCGCGUCUGCUGUGAAAACUCGGGGCUUAACUCCGGGCCUGCAGUGGGUACGGGCUGACUAGAGUGCGGUAGGGGAGACUGGAAUUCCUGGUGUAGCGGUGAAAUGCGCAGAUAUCAGGAGGAACACCGGUGGCGAAGGCGGGUCUCUGGGCCAGUACUCUGAGAGCGAAAGCGUGGGAGCGAACGGGAUUAGAACUCGU
rnacentral:rRNA from 1 species